rnacentral:rRNA from 1 species
GGAGGAAAGCAGGGGAUCGCAAGACCUCUCACUAUUGGAGCGGCCGAUGUCUGAUUAGCUAGUUGGCGGGGUAAUAGCCCACCAAGGCGACGAUCAGUAGCUGGUUUGAGAGAACGACCAGCCACACUGGGACUGAGACACGGCCCAGACUCCUACGGGAGGCAGCAGUGGGGAAUUUUGGACAAUGGGGGCAACCCUGAUCCAGCCAUGCCGCGUGCGGGAAGAAGGCCUUCGGGUUGUAAACCGCUUUUGUCAGGGAAGGAAUUGGACUUACUAAUACUAGGUCUAGAUGACGGUACCUGGAGAAUAAGCACCGGCUAACUACGUGCCAGCAGCCGCGGUAAUACGUAGGGUGCAAGCGUUAAUCGGAAUUACUGGGCGUAAAGCGUGCGCAGGCGGUUUUGCAAGUCAGAUGUGGAAGCCCCGGGCUCAACCUGGGAAUUGCGUUUGAAAUAGGAAGCUAAAGGGC